AUACGGAGGAUCCGAGCGUUAUCCGGAUUUAUUGGGUUUAAAGGGUGCGCAGGGGGCCAUUUAAGUCAGCGGUUAAAUCGUGGGGCUCAACCCCAUUCUGCCGUUGAUACUGGGUGGCUUGAUUGCGGUCGAGGUUGGCGGAAUUCGUUGUGUAGCGGUGAAAUGCAUAGAUAUGACGAAGAACACCGAUCGCGUAGGCAGCUGACCAGACCGCAAAUGACGCUCAUGCACGAAAGUGCGGGGAUCGAACAGGAUUAGAUACCCUGGUAGUCCGCACAGUAAACGAUGAAUACUUGUUUUCGGCGAUAUAAUGUCGGAGGCAAAGCGAAAGCGAUAAGUAUUCCACCUGGGGAGUACGCCGGCAACGGUGAAACUUAAAGGAAUUGACGGGG
rnacentral:rRNA from 1 species